rnacentral:rRNA from 1 species
UACGUAGGGGGCUAGCGUUGUCCGGAAUCAUUGGGCGUAAAGCGCGUGUAGGCGGUCCGGUAAGUCCGCUGUGAAAGUCGGGGGCUCAACCCUCGGAUGCCGGUGGAUACUGUCGGGCUUGAGUACGGAAGAGGCGAGUGGAAUUCCCGGUGUAGCGGUGAAAUGCGCAGAUAUCGGGAGGAACACCAAUGGCGAAGGCAGCUCGCUGGGACGUUACUGACGCUGAGACGCGAAAGCGUGGGGAGCAAACAGG